UUGAAAGGGAACCGAUUGAAGUCAGUCGUACCCGACGAGAAAUCAGCUUUUCGAAUGUGCAUUUGUGGGCGUAUGAGAUCUUCAUUGUUUGCAAUAUGUAUGUUUCUUUGGUGUACUUUUUCGUAUGGUAGGUCACCGUCGGUUUUGAUCGCCAUAAAAUGAUCGGAGGAAUGUAGCUUCGCCUUCGGUUGAAGUGUUAUAGCCUUUGGUAAAUGUGGUGAUUAAGCCCGAGGAUUGCAACGAAUACCUUUUAGGCUAUCCGUCUGACCUCUGAAAGUUACUUGGGUGUCGAAAGCUUGCUUACGGCCAUUUAAGUCAACGGUCAAAAGGUUAGAACGUGAUCACAUUCGUUAAGGAUGUUGACGUA
rnacentral:rRNA from 1 species